rnacentral:rRNA from 1 species
GAUGAACGCUGGCGGCGUGCCUAAUACAUGCAAGUCGAGCGAACAGAUGAGGAGCUUGCUCCUCUGACGUUAGCGGCGGACGGGUGAGUAACACGUGGAUAACCUACCUAUAAGACUGGGAUAACUUCGGGAAACCGGAGCUAAUACCGGAUAAUAUAUUGAACCGCAUGGUUCAAUAGUGAAAGACGGUUUUGCUGUCACUUAUCGAUGGAUCCGCGCCGCAUUAGCUAGUUGGUAAGGUAACGGCUUACCAAGGCAACGAUGCGUAGCCGACCUGAGAGGGUGAUCGGCCACACUGGAACUGAGACACGGUCCAGACUCCUACGGGAGGCAGCAGUAGGGAAUCUUCCGCAAAGGGCGAAAGCCUGACGGAGCAACGCCGCGUGAGUGAUGAAGGUCUUCGGAUCGUAAAACUCUGUUAUUAGGGAAGAACAAAUGUGUAAGUAACUAUGCACGUCUUGACGGUACCUAAUCAGAAAGCCACGGCUAACUACGUG